UUGGAGAGUUGAUCCUGGCUCAGGACGAACGCUGGCGGCGUGCUUAACACAUGCAAGUCGAGCGGUAAGGCCCUUCGGGGUACACGAGCGGCGAACGGGUGAGUAACACGUGAGCAACCUGCCCCUGACUCCGGGAUAAGCGGUGGAAACGCCGUCUAAUACCGGAUACGACCCUCCUCCGCAUGGUGGGGGGUGGAAAGUUUUUUCGGUCGGGGAUGGGCUCGCGGCCUAUCAGCUUGUUGGUGGGGUAACGGCCUACCAAGGCGAUUACGGGUAGCCGGCCUGAGAGGGCGACCGGCCACACUGGGACUGAGACACGGCCCAGACUCCUGCGGGAGGCAGCAGUGGGGAAUAUUGCGCAAUGGGCGAAAGCCUGACGCAGCGACGCCGCGUGGGGGAUGACGGCCUUCGGGUUGUAAACCUCUUUUACCACUCACGCAGGCCCCACGUUUUCGUGGGGUUGACGGUAGGGGGGAAAAGGACGGGCAACACU
rnacentral:rRNA from 1 species